AUGAGAGACACCUUGAAGUACAGCAGGACAGAGCACAAGAUCAGUACGAUGAAGAUCACUGGCAGCAGCAGCUCUCCACACUCCACUUGCUCUCGUAGAUCUAAAAGGUAAAUGCAAAACCUACAGAAAUCAUCCCUCAGAAACCUCAUUGACUGGAUCAAUGCUUGUCAAACCUGAGAGUUUGGAGAUGGCCCUGCAUGCUUUAAAUAUCUUAAAAAUCCUUCUAUUCCUUCAAUUGCAAAGAAAGACUUUCAGAACAGUAGGAAGCUCAGAACAGUAGCAUCAGGCUCUGUCUGCAAACAGGAAAUAAGAGAAAAUGGCAGACACCUGACACCCUCCAUGCUGAGAACUGCUGCAUCAUUGACCUGGGCCGCUGAACCAUGCGGUAUUGUCCAGUCAGGAAGAAAACUACUUACACUGAAGGUAGAGGGUUCCUUUGUUGGUACAGUCUCUGCAGAGAGCUACUGAGUUGUAUUGAUGCUCUGCCUGCUAAGUUUUUAAAUAUUAAAGGAAAUGUAGUAGUGAAAACGUGAAUAAGAGUGUGAAUGGGACACCUACAGAGCAUUAGGAGUCCCUCUACCAUAUCUUCACGCGUGAUGAGCUUUUCUCCAGCUGCACUUUCAUCAGACAGGUAGAACCCUGUUAUAGCUUCCUAGGCAGGAUUGGUUGCUGGCUCUGUAACUGUGUGUGGAAUUGAAGUCUCAUGUUUCAUUCCUUUGCUCCAAUAAAGUUGGAAUGCC